rnacentral:tRNA from 1 species
GCGCGAGUGGUGGAAUCGGCAGACUCGCCGGCUUCAGGUGCCGGUGCUCUUCACGGGCGUGCGGGUUCAAGUCCCGCCUCGCGCACCA